GUGUGCACUGUGGCCGUGCCUGAUGUGCUGAGGGACUCGUUUAGGAAUGCUGUCAUUUGGCUUGGGGAAGGGCCAGGCCUCUCUCUGCCCAUAGCAUUGAGGACAGAGGCACAGGUCUCUGUCACUGGGCUGACAGCUUCCAUUCUUCCAAAUCCCCUCUUCCACACUGAAACCACACUCUUCUGAGUCACUGUGUGCACUGGCGAGGCCUUCUCAUGGAUGGUCGCAGUCAUUCUCUUUUCUGCACAUGCUUCCUCCAGGCCAGGCUCACAGGUGGGCCCGCCGGGUGAUUCUGAAUCCUGUGAAGUUGACAGCUUACAUUAACCAUCACAAGUAGCAUGCAAAAUCUGAUUUCUUAAUGGAAGAUACAGCACAAGAUCUGGGAGAAAUUUCAAUGUUGUGUAAAAGGGACACCGUAGAAGAACGAAGUCCUAUGAGGAGAAUUCUUUGUGAGAAAACCUGAGACUUGUGACCUCGGUUUCUUCAAAACAUGGACUUAUUCUUGGGAUGGUUUUGUGCUCCUCCCAGGUGUAGUGGAUAGGGGUGGGUGGACUUCAGAUUACUCAUUAGUGCUUGCAGUUGUUGUUAAGUGUUUAGACAAUCCUUUCUAGUCCUCUAGAGAAAACCAUGGUUUUUACCACAUGGGGCUUGUUCUUGUGAUUUUAUACAGCACGAAACUCAUGAGAACUUUAUUCAUGUGAUUUUUCUUAACUCUCAGAGUAUAAAUUGUCCGAAGCCCUGAAUAGAGAUGACCAUUGCAUGAGAUUGUAGCCUCCUUGUUUAUCGGCUCUAUUCUCCCACAUGUGAAGGUUAUCACGAUAAUCACAUCCACUCAGGCACCGAAAGACGAGUAUUACAUGCCUUCUGUCC
ensembl:lincRNA Gm12916 predicted gene 12916